AACACUUAACACUCAAAAAUAAAAGUUAUCAAACCUCACCGUUAAUCACUCAAAAAGAAAAAAUCAAAUUCUCAAUGAGGUCGAAUUCAAUCUUGUGAGUUCUUUAUCAGAGUUUAUAUCAACCAAUUAGAGAGUGUGAACCAAACUACCAAAGAAUCCUAAUUUGCACUAGGAUGCCAAAAACUGACGAGACACCAAUUGAUUCGUGUUGCACCGAGGAAGAAGUUGUGCACACGUUUAAAUCCUACUAACACAAGAAACAAGAAGGUGUUAGAUAACGU
rnacentral:lncRNA from 1 species